GGGGAUGAAAUAGUUUCGACUGGUAGGUCAGACUAUCAUACGCACGCCGUGCGGUGGCACGAUAAUCACACGGUUCGUUUGCACGAAUAAAAAUAAACGCUAACAAUAACCAAAAACUUGCUUACGCUGCAUAGCUAAGCCGUCAGCUCGAAGGUACCGAUACUUUGAGGUCUGGCGUCGUAUAUCGGUGCACGGCAGGGCGAAUCUCCUAGCUCUCCCUGUAGCUAAUAUAGGAUAGUAGAUGCGUGGUGUCAAUGUGAGUACGCAUCUAUGAGAAUAGUCAUUGACUAAGCGUGUAGUGUAUGGUCUUCUGAGCUAUUAGGACACGAGUGCAACUCUCGUCAUCUCCACCA
rnacentral:tmRNA from 1 species